UACGAAGGGGGCUAGCGUUGUUCGGGUUUACUAGGCGUAAAGCGCGUGUAGGCGGGUCGAUAAGUUGGGGGUGAAAUCCCGGAGCUCAACUCCGGAACUGCCCUCAAAACUGGCGACCUGGACCCAAGUAGAGGCAAGUGGAAUUGCGAGUGUAGAGGUGAAAUUCGUAGAUAUUCGCAGGAACACCAGUGGCGAAGGCGACUUGCUGGACCUGUGGUGACGCUGAGACGCGAAAGCGUGGGGAGCAAACAGG
rnacentral:rRNA from 1 species